CACUACCGCACCCCAUGACCUUCCUCAUCCACUAACCGCCGCCGCCGCCGCCGGUGUGCCACCCGUGCACCUCGCCUCCUCCCUCGUGCCGCCUCCGGACCGCGCCAGCUCGCCGUCGCCGACCUCCCGCCGCGGAUCCCCGUCGCCACCCCAGCACGCCUCGCGUCUUCCAGCCAGCAUGCGCCGCCACGAGCAGCAGCCCCCAACCUCCGGGCCCCGCCGCCGGGGAUCUCGCAGAUCAGCCGUGCUAGCAUCCCCACGAAGAAGCCCAUCGCACCGACCCAGUCGUCCGUCAUGGAUGCAACCAACUUUCCCCAGGAGUAGCCAAUGUUUCGGGAGGAUGAUGGACGCCGCGAGAUCCUCUGUUUCAGGAGGAUGAUGGACGCCGCGAGAUCCUCUAUUUCAGGAGGAUGAUGGAUGCCGGCGAGAUCGUCCAUUUCGCCUCCCCGUCCUACGACCAGAUGAAUUGCGGCGUCCAGAUGGCAGCCAAGAAGGCGGCGUCAUUGUUACAGUUUGUGUUCUUCUGACCAAACGCAUUGGCGAGUUGUUCUCCAUUAAUCUCAUGAUGCAUUGCAAACUCAUGAUUGUAAUUGAUAUCAUUCCGUGCAAAAUUUAUGUUAAACUUUUUGUGCAACUCUGGAUGCGUUAGAGACAUACUUUUUUUCCUUGAUGGUGUUUGCACAUCCAUGUUUUUUCUAUGUAGACGAUGUUUGUACAGCUGUCGAAGUUGCACACACACGGCAACAUAGUUAGGGGCCUUAGGGUUAGUUGUGUAGAAGUUUUCACAGAUUUUGUGUGAAUGCUUUUUAGCCAUUUGUGCAACCGGGGCAGCUUCCCUUGUGCAACCUGUUAUAUUGAACUCACCAACUUCAUGUUAAAAAUAGCCAACCUAACUUUUUUGUUUUUGAUGGAUUUUUGUUUGUUUUGGGGUGGCAGUUUUUUUGUACAACUAGGCAGCAAAUCAUGUGCAACAUUUAUUUUAAUUCAACCAGGGUAGUCUUUCUGAGGCUGCUAUUUUUCUAGUUGCACAACGUGGAUGCAAACGAUGUGGAUCACACGGUGAUACAAAGGCAUUUUCUAGCCAAUUUUUUUUUGCAACGAGGCAUGUCCCGUUAUCCAAGUUGUUUUGAUUGGCUUGCCAACCGGGUGGCAAUUUUUUCGCUCACUCAGGUAGGAAUUUAUGUGCAACUUUCUUAAUUCUUGUGCAACUUGUUAUCUUGAGUUGCCAACUUCACAUUAAGAGUAGCCAUUUUUUCUGCCCAUGUGCAACUUGUUAAUUUAAGUUGCCAACUUCAUAUGCAAAUGUAGCAUACCACACCCCCAUUUUGUCUCCCCCUGUGCAAUUUUGUUAAUUUUGACUAAUAUGUUUGUUCUUUUCUGUUUUGCAGAGACAAAAUGGUUGGUGAAGGAGAUGUGCCUGGUAGUGAAACAGAGGGUUCUCCAAAUAGGACCUCUCGGCGGGACUCAAAACGGGCUGCUAAGCGGAAUGAGCUGGCAUUCUCAGACUUUUCUAGUUGCACAAGAGUACGUGAUUAGUUGGCAUCCUCAGCAUUUCUAGUUGCACAAUACCAUCCGACUAGUUGACAUCCUCAGUCCUUUUGUAGCUGCGUUGACACCCUCAGCAUUUUCUUCUAGAAGCCUGGAACCUGAAUGUGCACUUUUUUUGAUUGGUCAUGCAAGUGCCGAAUAUUUCUUUUCCCAAGAGUAUCUAAUCAAUUGGCAUCCUCAAGAUUUAUAGUUGCACAAGAGUAUUCAACUAGUUGGCAUCCUCAGCCUUUCUACUUGCACAAAUAGGCCUUUCUAGUUGCACAAGAGUAACUAUUUUUUAGUCCCAUCUUCAAAUUUUUGAGAGUUUCCCAAGAGUAUCUAAUGACUUGGCACCCUCAGCCUUUCUAGUUGCACAGGAGUAUUUAAUUAGUUGGCAUCCUGAGCAUUUUCUAGUUACACAAUAGCAUCUAACUAAUUGACAUCCUCAGCCUUUCUAGUUGCACAAUAGUAACUAUUUUAGUUGGCAUCCUCUGCAUUUUGUAGUUGCACAACUAACAUAAUAUCAAGUUGGCAUCGUCAACCUUUUUUAUCCAGUUUUUCUGAAGAACAACAAAUAUUUUGUAUGGAGUGUUAACUAAUCACCUUUGGCACAUUUUGUUUGCAAAACCUCGGGUGAUCACGUUGGAAUGUGAUUAUCUUUUGCACCUUUUUCUGAUGACAGUAAAUAGAAUUUCAUCUUCUUUUCUGUUUCACUUUUAGUAUAUAGAACAUCCUAUAGAACAUAUUCCCCCUAUUGCAAUUCGUGU